AGGAAAUUAAUAACAAGGACCAACUGCAAACCACAGCCCCCACCCACACCGAAAGGAGAAGAUAAGGGGGCCAUGGUCUGAUGUGAUGAAGACAGAAGUGAAACUCUAAGGAUCAAUGAAGGACUUUUAUCAGUGGCAGUGGCCUUGGCUGAUGUUGGUGUUCUGUGGAGCUGGUUCUGCUCAACAGGAGAAUGGCAGGCGACAUUCUUUGUCCACAAGACCAAGGCCUGGCUAUGAAUGGCUUGGGCAAGUGAAGGAACCUCCUCGAGCCCAGGCUCCUCCUUUGUAAGCUGGGGAUAAUCACUACUCCACUGAGACCUUGUGAGGAUUACAUGAGCUACUGCAGGCGGUGAAGAGGAAACUUCCUGGCAGGCACAGAAACCUCCGCGUUCCCUCCGGGAGAAGGAGCCCUGCAGGGAACGACCUAUUCCAGCUGCGGGACGGGAUGCCUUUGGAAAGAGCCUUAUUGUGACUUCUCCUGCAGUAAGAGAUUCGCUGGGGGAUCUGGGAACACGCUCUGUACAGAGCAAAGGACUGAAUUGUUCUUCCAUAAUUUCCACGUACAAAUGAGAGUUCAGAAAGCCAGGCGGCACUUCAGGGGCGUGUCCUCUGUGCUGUGGCCAUUCUGUGCUCAUGCCUCGUUUCCUCACGUAGACGGGAAGCCACAGAAGGCAGGAAGCCAAAACAACCCGUACCUCCUGGUAGCUACCUUCCCCCACCCCACCCCAACCCCUGCCCUCCCAGCUCAGGCCACUUGCCUGACUCAUAGUCCAGACCUCAGUAAAAGAUACAGAUAAAUGCUUGUUGUUAGGGACGAUGGUGAAGCUGGAACAUGACCCGUGACCAUGCAGAAGGCUGAGCUUCUCCAGAGAAACGGGAGCAGGAGCCUCCUGUCUGUCCCUCUGCACCCCCACACUCCCCCAGGGACCAGACACUGCUGACCGUGCAUCUGCCUACACCCCCAGUCCCCAAACCCUUGAGAAGACCCAGUGAAGCGUGCCUGCCUGGGCUUUGGCCGCAGGGUCUCCCUGCAUCCCCCUCCCUGGGCCACGCUGUGCAUCCUGUGCUGCUGAAAUCUGAGGGUCCCCCGUGAGAGGCACAAAGCCCAUCUGGAUGUCCUCAGAGAUUUCAUCUAGUUCUCAUCGUUUGGGUCUACUACUAAGUUUCCUUCUGGGAGACAAGGCCCUUUUGGAAAGGCCUCUCAGAGCUGGCCCUGCUGAGUCUAGGGCAGGGGCUCUCUUGGGAGACUGGCUGCUCUGCCCCUCAGGGCUCCCUCUCCCCUUCUCUCCUCAGAGCCCGGGAGCCUGCCAGUCCCACCAGCCACACGCAGGAAGGAGGGAGGGAAGGGCUUAGUUAGGCCAUCACGAGAUGACUUCUGCCGCCUCCUAUCUGUACGGUGGACUCCUUGUGUUAGCAGAGGCCUCUCCCACUGUUUCCAGGGGUAGGAUCUCUUUCUGACAUUGUGGUAGUGUGAAUAACGGCCCCUCAAAGAUGGUGACGUCCAGCUCUCUGGACGCUGGAAAUAGGAAACUGCACAUGGUCAAAAGGACUUUACAGAUGUGAUUUAGUUGAGGAUCUUGAGAUGGGAAACUUGUCGUGGUUUACCUGGUGGGCCCAAUGUAGUUACAGAGGAACUUGGAAGAGGGACGCCGGAGGACAGAGAGGAGAAAAGACGCUUUGCUUCUGGCUUUGAAGAUGGAAGAACUGGCCAUGAGCCAAGGAAUGCUGGCGCCCUCUGGAACCUGGAAAAAGCAAGGAAACAGAUUCUCUCCUCGAGCUUCCAGGAGGAAUACAGCUGUGUUGAUUUUCGACUUCUGACCUCCAGAACUGUGAAAGAGUACAUUUAUGUUGUUUAAGACUACUAAAUUUGUGGUAAUUUGUUACAGCAGCAACUGGAGACGAAUAUAAAC